rnacentral:lncRNA from 1 species
CAUGAUGCAUGAGACAUACACAUAGUCUGAAACAUAGAUCAUAGUGCGAAUACGAAACAUAGUAAAAUACGACCUUCAUAGGCAUCCGACUAGGGGUUUGUCACUAACCCACGCCUAUAACUCAUCAUAGUCUUGAAACUCCUAGAAAUCCUCCGCUACGCCUUCAUCUUCUCCUGAGCAUGGGUUGCAAUGCGGACAACCUGGUGUUUUGGUGUUUUAAGCAAGGGUGAGUACACAUCAACGUACUCAGCAAAUGUCCCGUUUGGCUAAAGUCGACUAGUUGUAUGUGGGGUGAAGCUCAGAGUAGUUGCUUUUAGUUGGUUAGGUAAUUAUUACUAGUAGACAGCCAGGUUUUAGCAAUAAUCCUAAAUUAUUAACCCAAAGGUACUCCCUCCAAAAGGAAAGAAUACCCAAAUCCAUAGUCAUAAGCAUCACCAUUAAAAUCAUCACCAUUAGAACCAUUAUCCUCAUCAUCAUUUGUAGCCAUAGUAUCUCUAAUCGAAGGAGCUCCCAAGGUCACUCAUAACCAGUGGCGGAGGACGCGCUAAAAAUAAGGUGUUGCUAACAUAAUAAUGAAAAAAAAUCACAACACAAUAACACAAUAGAAAGCAAUUUGUAGCUACAAAAUAAACAAUGAAUAUAGAAAAAUAUACAGAAUAAGAGUCAUCGUGAUCAUAAUUCAUUUAUAGACAAAUAUUAUAUAGCAAAUAAAAUCUGAAAAAGAAAAAUGAAUAAAUAAUGACAAACUGAAGUAAAAUUUUUUAAAUAGAAACUAGCAUAAACGUGGUACUAUCAUUGUUGGGGACUUGUUCUCAAGUGCUAAGAAUUAAGAACAAGGCAACAUAGAAAAUGUUAACCGUUAAUGCCCUUCGUCCUCCGAAGCAUUAUUUCCCUUAGGAUAUAAUGAUUUGCGGACGAAGGUUAUGAAGGACAUACCUUCAUAAAUUCAUCAAACAAUGACGAAGGACGAAAUAUAAAGAAUGUAAAAGAAAACAUGAACAAUUAUUAAUUAUUAUUGAAUAUAAACAAAAACGUUAUUGAACUAUAAGUGUACCUUCAAUCGGAAGGAAAUGACAGUACAAGCGUGACGCAAAAAGCGAAUGCCAAGUCAGCGUGAACAGUACGGGGAUACUGUUCACCUAUUUAUAGACACGGGACACAGCCCUUACAAAAUUACAUUCAUGCCCUUUACAUUUGAUAAUAACUCUAUAGUAGUCUAUCGAGGUCUGAAUAGCCUUUUCAUCUUUAAGUCGGUUCCAUUCUUUGCCGUUACGCCGAAGCUUUCCUGCUCAACACCUUCGGCUCUGUAUCAAGCUUCGUAUUAUUCCGGUCUGCUGCAAUGCCGACUUUAGUCUGAGGGUACCUGUUCACACAUUGUACUACAGAAAUACUGUUAAAUCCUGUUUUUGAGGACCUUCGGACGCCGAAGGUCCCCAACAGUAGCCCCUCGCAAUAUUAAUUUGUUAAAAGUAAUAAAUUUAGAUUGCGAUAUGGACGAAGGCUUUACGCCGAAGGUCCGAAAAAACACCUUCCCUUUGCUAGAAUAGCAACAUUCAAUGACAAGUGGGGUCUUUCAGCUUUCAACGCACCGAGCAUAUAAAUACGGCCAUACCGCAAACUCAUUUUGCACGCUUUCUGGCCAACCGCUCCCGCUUACUCAAUUUUUAGCUCUUGUGCACUGUGAUUUGCUAAGCUUUUAGCUUUGAAGCUUCGGAUUUGAAAACAGUUUUUUAGUGUUUCUGAAGAUGUCUGAAGCUGCUAAGAAGGCUGCUGCUGAGAUGAGGCUGAGUCUUGAUGAAGAGAAGAACUUGGGGUUUCUUAUAGCAAUGUCGAAAACCAACACAGAAAAAAUCACCAAGGAGAUUUUGGAAGGCCUGUCUGAAGAUACUGGUGACAGUGAAAGUUAUGAUGUGGACAGCGGUGGCGAAGACUCCGAAGAUCGUCCCUGGCGACCAAGCCAUUCAGUUUAUGGUAGAUCAACUAUCAAAGAGAAUCAUCUUGUUAACAUGAGAGGAAGGUAUUUUCGGGAUCUGUCCGUUGUGAGGGCCGACGAAGGGGAGAAGACUUGUCCACACCCUGAAGAGAAUGAAGUCGUAGUGUUCCGAAGCUUUUUGAAGGCUGGGCUGCGAUUGCCCUUGAGCAGCUUCGUCGUGGAGGUACUGAAGAUUUUUGAAGUCUAUCUUCACCAACUUACCCCCGAGGCAAUCAUAAGGCUGAACAUCUUCGUGUGGGCCGUGCGAAGCCAAGGUCUGAAGCCUGAUGCAAAAAGUUUCUGCAAUAUGCACGAAUUGUCAUACGAGACAAUACCUUGGGGUAAGGAACAGUAUCACAAUAACUUUGGCUGCUACAGUUUUGUUUCUCGGUCUGGGUCAAGCUGCCCCGUGCCAACUUUUCGGAAGAGGUGGCCUAGCGGCUGGAUGACAGAAUGGUUUUAUGUAAAAAAUGAUCUGAAAGCACGGGAAGACAUCAAAGGUAUAGUCAUGCGUCCUAUUUGGCAAAGCUUCGGCCUUCGGAGGCCGAAGGUUGAAAUGAAUGAAGCCGCCGAAGAGUGCCAAAGAGCCUUCGGCGUUGUCUGCUCUUUUAUAGGAACAAGGGACUUAGUACAAGAGCAUAUCGCCUUCAGGGUGUGGCCACUUGCGGAGAAAUGGGAUAUGCCACAAGAAACCAUUAAAGAGGCCGACGAAGGUGGACUUAUCAGAUUUAAGUACACUUUUAAAUUUGGAGAUAAAUUUAUUGAGCCAGAUGAUGAGUGGUUGAAAAGCAUUGACAAUUUAAGUGAUGAGCUGCUCGGGACCUACUCGAAGGCCGAAGAUAAUGCAAUGUCAGCAGCCUUCGGAGGCCGAAAAAAGAAGAGACUGAAUCGGGUAUUUGAUGCCAUCGGGUUUGUCUACCCUGACUAUUGCUAUCCCAUUCGAAGGCAGAAGAGAAAAAACACAACCUCUGCAAAAGAAGAAGCUGCAGCUGCUCCUAGCGAGCCAGAACCGAAAAGGAAAAAGAUAAAGGUUCUUACGCAUCGGCCGCGUUAUAUUGAACCAGCUUCGGUGCCCGAGUUUACCGGAAAAACUUCUUCGGCCACCGAAGCUGAAAAACCAACCGAGCCAGCCUUGUUGCCAGAGAUCGCAGAAACGGCCGAAGUGCCACCAAAAAUAGAAUCAGAACAAUCAAACAUUUUGUUGUCAGAAACAAAAGAGAAAGCCGAAGCGCCGUCCACAGAAAAAAUUGAAGAGGUAAAAGAAGCAACUGAGGGCUCCAAAACAUCAGAAGUUUUGAGUCCUACAGCCAUCAUUGGGACAGCAAAAAAUGAAAAAGUGCCAGCCGCAACUCCGAAGAGAAAGAGAAUGGCUAAUGUGCUAGAUGUACUAGAAACGAUUAAAUCUUCGAGCACACCUCCGAAGAAGGCUGCUGUUACUCCUGAAGCAACAGCUGAAAUUUCUGGUUCUACAGCUCCAGAGCAAGAAAUUGAAGCCGAAGCUGGGCCCUCAGAGCCCGCAAAAACCUUGGAAAGUGAGGCAGAAAAAAUAACAAAGCCAACUUUUGUUGAAGAAACUGGUGUUGUUACCCCCGAAGCAUCCCCCAAAAUUCGUGAUUAUAUUUUUCGUCAUGCUUCGGGGAAAAAAUUAUCAGAAAAAGAAAAACAAGAGGCCCAGCACUAUGCUCAAAAGUUGAAAUAUCCAAAGGGGGCGUUGAUAUUUAAUGGCAGUGGAGAAGAAGAUUUCUUGUAUUGUCUCCCCGAUAGCAAGGAAAUUUCUGUCUGUCGAGAGAUGAGCAGAAGCUUCGGAUUCCCAACUUUAGAAGACGGACUUUCGGUGCUGUCAAAGAACGAUCUGGCUGACAGCCUAGCUUACAACAGUUUAAAGGUGCGACAAAUGGAAUUCUCGUACUUUUUGUUGAGUUCAAAAUUUUUCGUUUGUUUAAAACUAUUGACACAUACAUAUUCCUAUUUGCAGGGCCUGAUACUCAGCAAUGCCCUCAGGGCACAGAAAGAUGCUGAGGACGAAGGAUGUACUAUAGCCCUGAGCAACCUUCGUUCCGAAGUAAUUGAACUGAGGAACGAAGGUCUCGAAAAAGACAAAAUAUUAUACUCAUUGAUAGAUAAAAUAAAGGAGGACGAAGCUGCUUUUAAAAGUCAAGCUGAAGCUCAGAUACGCGAAAUUGAAGACCUUCGGAAACAACUGGCCAGAGCCAAAGAAGAACGUAUACUUGAAGAAACAAAGCGUGAACUCAGCGAUCAAUGGGCAGAUCACCUAGAAGUGACUGUUGAAGAGCUUCGUUCAUCCAAAAAGAGAUGCUACAACAAAUCUAUAGAUUGCGUUAAGAAAUUAAAGGCUAGCUUCGCCAAGGUCGGCGCAUUCUCAAGUGAGGAAAACUUUUCGAGAGGCAAUCCCGAAGGCGUUAUUGAAUGGAUUGACCACGAAGCUGAAGCCUUCGAAGAAAUUUUAAAUAGCCGAGGAGAUAUAUGUGCCUUCUCUGGCGCCAGAGGGAUUGCCACCAUCUUAGAGAAGAAGGGCUGCGAACAUGUAAAAAUUCUAGCACAGUCCGAAGCUGCCUUGUCCUUUGAAGAUACAAAAGAUCCUUCGGCCGAAGCUAGCAUAAUUGGUGGAAAGUUUUUUACCGAUAUUUGGGAUAAUGGUGGCCGAGAAAUGGCCGGAGAAAUUAUUCGAAGAAGUGAGAAGGGCAUUCACGAUGCUAGAGCAGUAGCUGAGGCUGCUGACAAGAGCACAGAAGCCGAAGGUCAACUAGGUACUAAAUAAUAGUUUUUAUCGUGUUGUAAUCUUUAGACUUUAAGAUCUGCUUGCGAUUUGUAAUAGCAAUGUAGCUGUGUCCCGUCCUUCCUCAGAUCCUACUGAAGUAUCUCCGGGUGCUCGGCCUAGGGGUGAUGAUGAAAUUAAAAAGAUGGCUGAAGCUAUUAUGGAUGAAGUUGUCGAUCGACUGUUGAACGAAGCCGCAGAAGUGGUACUUAGGGAGGACUAAAUGCUAUUGUAAAAACAUUUUAAAUGUAACAUGUGUAAUAUCUUGUAGUCCUGUAUGUAAUAUAUUUGUCUUAUUUUUCUUUAUGGUUCAAUUCUUUACGAUGCAUGAAACUUUACAUACGUACCGUUUUUGAGUCUGGCGAAAAAAAACACCUUCCCUUCUUUUCAUGCUUCGUGAAGAAGAAUUACCAUUUAUCACAACAAUAUCCGAAGUAUCCUGAAAAAUGUUGAAGCUUUGUAGAAACAUUCCUCAAGGCUAUACUUCAGAGAUCAAUAUUGUUUCUCCUUGUGACUUGGCAUGAUUUACCCCUUUUUCAAAGCGUUUUCCCGAAGAUUGAUAUCAUAUCUCUUUCUUAUGCCACAUGCAGUAUGAUGUAUGAUGCUUAUGUUAUGCAAAAUGAUGUGAUGAUGUUAUGCUAUAUAAGGUGAUAUUCCGAAGUUACACGCAUAUCUGCGCGAUAAAACACAAUCUUUUUGCAGACCAGCGUUAACUUUUCGCUAUAAGCCUCCCUUAGGAGCUUCUUCGCCUUUUACUUCAGCGGAAUCAGCGUUGACUUUUCGCUGUAAGCUCUGCAUUCCCUUAGGAACGUCUUUGGAGCUUCUUCGCCUUUUACUUAGGCGGUAUCAGCGUUGACUUUUCGCUGUAAGCUCUGCAUUCCCUUAGGAACGACUUUGGAGCAGAAAACUUACACUGCGCUCCCUUUGGAACGACUUUUUGUGACUUUCAUCAAACUUACUCUGCGUUCCUUAGAACGACUUUUUGUUGCUUCGAAGAAUUUUCAAUAGUCCGAAAAUCCUUUUUAUUAUCACAAGCCUGUGAAGAAAACAUAUUUUUCUUGUAGAAAUCAACGAAACUAAUUACAUGAAACCUAAUCAAUGUCCUUUAUUACAGGAAAUAAAACUGAAUGAAAAAGAUUGCUAUUAAGGUAGGAUAUUUGUCAAUAGAUGUGCUUUGAUUCUGGCACAGUGCUGUUGACCGUGCGAGCUUCGGACUGUUCUCUGAAGUCCCUUUGAUGCGGAGCAUAUUGGCUCCCUUCUGGCUGCUGGCCUUGCUGCAACGGAGGUGGAGGUGGAGGCUGUUGCCACGAAGCUUGAGGCUGACUCGCCGAAGCAACAGAGACUGCAGGAUGGUUGCCCACAUAUUCUGGGAUGUAAGGCGAAUGAUACGAAGCUGUAUGCAUGACCUGCUUCGGCUGAGCUUGUUGUGCUGCUGCUUCAGCUAUUUCCUUUUGCUUCUGAAUAGUGACAUGGCACAUCCUGGUAGUAUGGCCUUUGUUCUCACCGCAGAAUAAGCAAAAGAUUCUUCUCGGUUGAUCGCCAAAUCUUCCUCCGAAGCCCCUGGCGCCUCUGCCUCUUGGAGCUGGAGGUCGGAAGGAACUUUGUUGUUGCCCUGAAGCCUGUGAGGAGUAUUGUGGCCUUUGUUGCUGACUUCCUUUAUCAUCAUUCUGAGUGGAAUUGUGAAUUGACCUGACAUGCCUCGGGUAAGACCUUCCUCCGAAGCCCCUAGUCAUUUCAGAAAACCUGAAAGCCUCCUCCCUUCUUUGACGAAAAUCAUUGUCAGCUCGAAUGUAUUCGUCCAUCUUCUGGAGCAGCUUUUCCAGCGUUUGUGGUGGCUUUCUGGCGAAAUACUGUGCUGACGGCCCUGGCCGAAGCCCCUUGAUCAUAGCCUCAAUGACAAUCUCAUUGGGCACUGUUGGCGCCUGUGCCCUCAAUCGUAGAAACCUUCGGACAUAUGCCUGAAGGUACUCUUCAUGGUCCUGAGUGCAUUGGAAGAGAGCCUGAGCUGUGACCGGCUUCGUCUGAAACCCUUGAAAGCUAGUUAACAGCAAGUCCUUCAGCUUCUGCCAUGAGGUGAUCGUUCCUGGUCGAAGGGGGGAAUACCAGGUUUGAGCAACGCUUCUGACAGCCAUAACGAAAGAUUUGGCCAUGACUGAAGCAUUGCCACCGUACGAAGACACUGUUGCUUCGUAGCUCAUCAAAAACUGCUUCGGGUCUGAGUGGCCAUCAAAUAUGGGGAGCUGAGGCGGCUUGUAGGACGGGGGCCAAGGUGUAGCUUGCAGCUCAGCGGACAGGGGAGAAGCAUCAUCAAAAACAAAAUUCCCAUGAUGGAAAUUGUCAUACCAGUCAUCUUCGUUGGGAAAACCCUCCUGAUGAAGAUCUUGAUGUUGAGGCCUUCGGUGUUGCUCAUCCUGAGCAAGAUGGCGAACUUCUUCAGAGGCUUCGUCUAUCUGCCUCUGCAGUUCAGCUAGCCUGGCCAUCUUCUCCUUCUUGCGUUGAACCUGCUGCUGAAGGAUUUCUAGAUUUUGAAUCUCCUGAUCUAGAUCAUCCUCCGGAGGUGUUGGACUGGUAGCCUUCCUCUUCUGGCUUCGUGCCUCUCUAAGAGAAAGGACGUCUUGAUUGUGGUCCAGCGGCUGCAGCGUGCCAGCCCCUGGUGCUGAAGUCUUCUUCGGCGGCAUGACGAAGGUGAUGCUUUGCCGAAGAUGUUGAAAAGCUCAAGAAAUGGAAGUGAGUUCACCGGAGGUGGGCGCCAAUGUUGGGGACUUGUUCUCAAGUGCUAAGAAUUAAGAACAAGGCAACAUAGAAAAUGUUAACCGUUAAUGCCCUUCGUCCUCCGAAGCAUUAUUUCCCUUAGGAUAUAAUGAUUUGCGGACGAAGGUUAUGAAGGACAUACCUUCAUAAAUUCAUCAAACAAUGACGAAGGACGAAAUAUAAAGAAUGUAAAAGAAAACAUGAACAAUUAUUAAUUAUUAUUGAAUAUAAACAAAAACGUUAUUGAACUAUAAGUGUACCUUCAAUCGGAAGGAAAUGACAGUACAAGCGUGACGCAAAAAGCGAAUGCCAAGUCAGCGUGAACAGUACGGGGAUACUGUUCACCUAUUUAUAGACACGGGACACAGCCCUUACAAAAUUACAUUCAUGCCCUUUACAUUUGAUAAUAACUCUAUAGUAGUCUAUCGAGGUCUGAAUAGCCUUUUCAUCUUUAAGUCGGUUCCAUUCUUUGCCGUUACGCCGAAGCUUUCCUGCUCAACACCUUCGGCUCUGUAUCAAGCUUCGUAUUAUUCCGGUCUGCUGCAAUGCCGACUUUAGUCUGAGGGUACCUGUUCACACAUUGUACUACAGAAAUACUGUUAAAUCCUGUUUUUGAGGACCUUCGGACGCCGAAGGUCCCCAACAAUCAUAGCAGUAAUACUUGUAGCAAACAGGGAAAUGAUUUGUCUAUACCCACUAUACCUGCUACAAUGCUGG